ACCCGAUGCUGGCCCCGGGAGGGGCGCUCGCCUCCACCGUGGGCGCCCUGAUCGGGGUGGGCCCCGGCCGUGGGAUCGCCUUCCUCUAUCUGGUG
rnacentral:tRNA from 1 species